rnacentral:rRNA from 1 species
UGGGGAAUUUUGCACAAUGGGGGAAACCCUGAUGCAGCGACGCCGCGUGAUUUAGAAGGCCUUCGGGUUGUAAAAAUCUUUUCUAUGGGAAGAAAAUGACAGUACCAUAGGAAUAAGGACCGGCUAAUUACGUGCCAGCAGCCGCGGUAAUACGUAAGGUCCGAGCGUUGUCCGGAUUCAUUGGGCGUAAAGGGUACGUAGGCGGGUAAGCAAGUUAGAAGUGAAAUCCUAUAGCUCAACUAUAGUAAGCUUUUAAAACUGCUCAACUGGAGGGAUGGAAGGGAAGGUGGAAUUCCUAGUGUAGCGGUGAAAUGCGCAGAUAUUAGGAGGAAUACCGGUGGCGAAGGCGACUUUCUGGCCAUAACCUGACGCUGAGGUACGAAAGCGUGGGUAGCAAACAGG